rnacentral:rRNA from 1 species
AUGGCUGUUUCAUCUGGUGAACGUCCAACCAGCUCGGGAGUGCCCCAAUCGCCAGAAAAUGAAACUUUGGCAAGUUCAGAAGCAAUUGUGUCUUCUCCGAUAGCACAGGAGCGACGCAGUCGCGCCUUGGACAUCUCUUCAGAGGAAGCGCUUCAAAUUAAUUCGGUGAAGAUGAAGAGUAAAGAGCAACGACGUUGGUAUAUCGAGGAGCCGGAAAAUUUUGAAGAUGCAAAGACGGAAGAGUGUUGGCGUCGUGCUAUGGAUGACGAAUUGGGUUCGAUCCGAGACAACGAUACAUGGGAGCUCGCGGAUCUUCCCAACGGACAUAAUGCCAUAGAGCUCAAGUGGGAGUACGAAGUUAAGAAGGGUGCCGAAGGGAACUUGGUGAAGCACAAAGCAAGGCUCGUGGCUAAGUCAAACGUGCAAGACCAAGGUGUGGACUUCGAAGAAGUGUUCGCUCCACUUACAAGGAUGGACACGGUGAGGCUACUUAUAGCUCUCACGGCUCAAGAAUCUUGGACUCUACAUCACAUGGAUGUGAACUCCACGUUGUUGACUGGGGAGUUAGAAGAAGAGUUGUAUGUGAAGCAACCACCGGGGUACAUCCAAGAAGGAGAGGAACACAAGGUAUUGAAGCUACAGAAGGGGUUGUAUGGGCUACGACAAGCUCCUAGGGCAUGGAAUACGAAGCUUGACAGUACAUUGAUUUCUCUUGGGUUUGAGAAAGCCCCACUAGAGCAUGCAUUGUACAAGCGAGGCGAAGGAAGUGAUCGUCUACUAGUGGGCAUCUAUGUAGAUGAUCUAUUGAUUACUGGAGCAGACGAUGAGGUGAUUGCAAACUUCAAGCUACAAAUGGAGGAGCUAUUCAAGAUGACUGAUCUAGGGCUCUUGAGUUACUACCUCGGGAUCGAGAUACAGCAAAAGCCGGAGGGGAUCAUAAUAUGCCAGGAGGCAUAUGCAAAGAAGGUACUUGAAAGCUGUGGCAUGAAAGAUUGCAAUCCAAGUCAUGUUCCGAUGAAGCCUCGUCUGAGACUAAGCAAGAAGAGUGAAGCACCCGCGGUUGAUGCAACGGAGUAUAGAAGUGUGGUCCGAAGGUUGAGGUAUCUCACAAAUACAAGACCAGACUUGGCCUACUCCGUUGGCAUGGUGAGUCGCUUCAUGGAAGCACCCACGACUGAACAUUGGGCAGCUGUAGAAAAUAUACUCAGGUACAUCAAAGGGACAACAAAUUUCGGUUGUGUCUAUUUGAGAGAGAAGAAGAAGGAGAUGGUGGAGCUACUUGGCUACAGUGAUAGCGAUAUGGCAGGAGAUGUGGACGACCGUAAAAGUACCUCGGGCAUGGCAUAUUUCUUGGGAGGAAGCAUAAUGAGUUGGCUAUCACAAAAGCAGAAGGUGGUCGCAUUAUCAUCUCAUGAAGUAGAGUAUGUUGCAGCUGCUACGGCGGUGUGUCAAGGCGUUUGCCUAGGAAGACUAGUCGGUGACCUCACAGGUAAGGAACCGGAACGAGUGAUGCUGAACGUUGACGACAAGUCUACAAUCUCUCUGUGGAAGAAUCCGGUGCAUCAUGGUCGAUGCAAGGACAUCGAUACAAGGUAUCGAUACCUAAGGGAGUGCGUGGAAGAAAGCAAAGUUGACGUCAACUACGUUUGCACCGAUGACCAGCUUGCAGAUAUCCUAACUAGAUCUUUGGGACGACAGAAGUUCGUGAAGAUACGGCGAAGGAUCGGUGUCCAAGCUGUGACGUGA